CCUACGGGGCGCACCAGUGGGGAAUAUUGCACAAUGGGGGAAACCCUGAUGCAGCCAUGCCGCGUGUGUGAAGAAGGCUUUCGGGUUGUAAAGCACUUUCAGUAGGGAGGAAAGGUGCGUGGUUAAUACCCGCGUACUGUGACGUUACCUACAGAAGAAACACCGGCUAACUCCGUGCCAGCAGCCGCGGUAAUACGGAGGGUGCAAGCGUUAAUCGGAAUUACUGGGCGUAAAGCGCGCGUAGGCGGUUUGUUAAGCGAGGUGUGAAAUCCCCGGGCUCAACCUGGGAACUGCAUUUCGAACUGGCAGGCUAGAGUGUAGAAGAGGGGUGUGGAAUUUCAGGUGUAGCGGUGAAAUGCGUAGAGAUCUGAAGGAACACCAGUGGCGAAGGCGACACCCUGGUCUAACACUGACGCUGAGGUGCGAAAGCGUGGGUAGCA
rnacentral:rRNA from 1 species